rfam:Rhodocyclales bacterium RIFCSPLOWO2_02_FTLL_63_24 rifcsplowo2_02_scaffold_27511, whole genome shotgun sequence.
GUUGUAGCUCCCUCUCUCACCCCGGAUAGCUACAAU